rnacentral:rRNA from 1 species
UACGUAGGCAGCGAGCGUUGUUCGGAGUUACUGGGCGUAAAGGGUGUGUAGGCGGUUGUUUAAGUUUGGUGUGAAAUCUCCCGGCUCAACCUGGGAGGGUGCGCCGAAUACUGAAUGACUUGGAGUGCGGGAGAGGAAAGUGGGAAUUCCUGGUGUAGCGGUGAAAUGCGUAGAUAUCAGGAGGAACACCGGUGGUGUAGACGGCUUUCUGGACCGUAACUGACGCUGAGACACGAAAGCGUGGGUAGCAAACAGG